GUAGAAUGGCUUCCAACAAUGUUUCUUCUGUUACUCGGUUCUUCUUCAUUGGAAUUUUAUGCAUUGCUUUGAUUUCAUCAAGUACAGUGGAAUCGAUUGUGGAACCCUGCCUUGGACCGUGCUCAGGUUUUCCAGACUGCAAUAAGGCUUGUAUUGCCAAGGGGUUUCCCAAAGGAGGUGUGUGCCUGGGGUUUAGUGGCACUCCUCUAGCUUGCUGCUGUAAUAAUAAUUAAUGAAUGCCGUGAAGAAUUCCCAUGGCAUUGGCUUGUAAUCUUUGUUUAAAAUAAAAGGUUUAAUUGAUUAGGGUCUUUCCCUUCAACCUUCAAGUUGUAUGCCUGGUUUAUAUUAUAAAAUAAAAGAAGUUUAAUUAGUGUCCAUCAA